GGUGCUUCAGAUAGGUUGAAGGACAUGUACAGAUAGCAUAUGGCCGUGUACCUCUGAGUCUUCUGCCUCAUCUGAGGAAGAUUUGUUAUGCUCUACGACCUCACAAGGUGACAUUGCUAGGCCAAAGUCAGCAGUCAGUGCAGCCACUGAAGCAUGACAGGAAAUCAACAGUCUGUGUAUGUUGACCUGACUUCAAAACAUGGUUCAUCUCUUUGAAGGUUUCUUCCGAAAAUGGCAAUCUGCUGUUGAAUAUGGUGCCGUCGAAGAUCCGGUUAGAGCAGGGAGCAUCCAGCAGAACGAGCCGACCAUUACUCGUCAUAGAGCCGGCUAGAGGAGACCGAGAAGGCGGAGGCGCCGGAACUGCUGUUUUCUACACCCGUCACUGAAGCUCGCUUAUCCAAAUCCGCGUUGGCUUUCUCGCACCCCGAACCGUCCCGCUUGCAGAGCCCUUGCGCCAUGUAAAAGACAAAAACACCUGAGAAUGAGGAGCGUGGCGUGCUGGAAAAGGAGGAUACGGCUCUGCUUCUGUCCCCUUUGCUUGUGUGCUAGUGAAGAUUUGGGAGAGGGAUGUAGGCAGGCGUGCUGGGGCUCAGGAUGAGAGAGAGCGAGAGAAAGAGAGAAAGAGAGAGAGAGAGAGAGAGAGAGAGAGAGAGAGAGAGAGAGAGAGAGAGAGAGAAUGAGAAUUACACAACAGAGAAGGGAUGUGCGGCGACAGAAAAGGGUGCAGUAAAACUCUUAUUUGGACGGAGCGAAACGACACGGAUAUAAACUAAUUUUCCUCAAGAAUAGCAGAUUUUAAUCGAUUCUUACAUUCUGACUGACUGUACUGGGUUGUACGGACUGCAUGUUUUGUGGAUUAUGUAAUCGAGUUACUAAAAUCAAGUUGCUUUAAUUAGAAUAGCCCACGUUUCAUUUUAAAAUAGCCAAAUUUUCAGACAUGACAACGUAAAAUCCUUAAUUACUAGACGUCUUAAAAUAUUUGUGCUUAUUUAUAAUUUUUGAAGUAUUGUAAGCGAAUUUUAAAUAGGAUUUAUGUAUGUUUUAAAUGUUUUAGACAACAACACUGAUCAUAUUUGUAUAGACAUUGUAUUUUAACCUAAUUGCAUUUACUGAAACGGCAGAGUACAUAACAGCAUUUCUAAAUGUUUCUAUAUGUACAUAUGUGUGUGUGUAUUUUCCGAGGUCUUAGUAAGUAUACAUAAUUAUCUCUAUUCAUAUCAAAUAAAAUGUUUUCAC
rnacentral:lncRNA from 1 species